rnacentral:snRNA from 1 species
AGCUUUGUGCAGUGGCAGUAUCGUAGCCUGAGGUUUAUCCGAGGUGCGAUUAUUGCUAACUAAAUGGGGAAGAAAAAGGCACAUUAGGUCUUAGUGUUAUGAAAAUAGUUUUGAUCCAAAAGUGCUUCAGAAAUCCCAGGCAUCGAUGGACCACAAUUUGAGAAUCACUGCUUUAGGAUAUAUGUGGAAAAUAAAUUGUUGG